rnacentral:rRNA from 1 species
UACGGAGGGUGCGAGCGUUGUUCGGAAUCACUGGGCGUAAAGGGCGUGUAGGCGGUCCGCUAAGUCCGAUGUGAAAGCCCGGGGCUCACCCCCGGAAGGGCAUUGGAAACUGGCGGACUCGAGUCCCGGAGAGGAAGGUGGAAUUCCACGUGUAGCGGUGAAAUGCGUAGAUAUCGGAAGGAACAUCAGUGGCGAAAGCGACUUCCUGGACCAAUACUGACGCUCAUGUGCGAAAGCGUGGGGAGCAAACAGG